rnacentral:rRNA from 1 species
GAUUUUGGACAAUGGGGGAGACCCUGUUCCAGCCAUCCCGCGAGUAUGAUGAAGGCCUUCUGUUUGUAAAGUACUUUUGGCAGAGAAGAAUAGGUAUCCCCUAAUAGGGGCUACUGCUGACUGUAUCUGAAGAAUAAGCACCGGCUAACUACGUGCCAGCAGCCGCGGUAAUACGUUGGGUGCAGGCGUUAAUCGGAAUUACUGGGCGUAAAACGUGUGAAGGCGGUGCGUAAAGAAAGAUGUGAUAGCCCAGGGGUCAACCUUGGAACUGCAUUUUUAACUACCGAGCUAGCGUAUGUCAGAGGGGGGUAGAAUUCCACGUGUAGCAGUGAAACACGUAGAUAUGUGGAGGAAUACCGAUGGCGAAGGCAGCCCCCUGGAAUAAUACUGACGCUCAGACACGAAAGCGUGGGGAGCAAACAGG